rnacentral:rRNA from 1 species
AACGUAGGAGACUAGCGUUGUCCGGAUUGACUGGGCGUAAAGCGAACGCAGGCGGCCCGGCGCGUGGGGUGUGAAAGCUGGCGGCUUAACUGCCAGACGCCAUCCCAUACGGCUGGGCUCGAGCCCUGCAGAGGUCCAUGGAAUUGCCGGUGUAGUGGUGAAAUGCGUAGAGAUCGGCAGGAACACCCAGGGGGAAACCAGUGGACUGGGCAGGAGCUGACGCUCAGGUGCGAAAGCGUGGGGAGCGAACCGG